rnacentral:lncRNA from 1 species
GCCCAGAAAGUUUAAAUACAACAAUACAACGAUAUAUCAUGAUUGAAGAGUAUGAAUAAUAAGCUGGCUAUAAUUCAUCAAUAUAAUUGAGAACUAGCAGGAACAAACUUUUGACUGAACAAGUUUUAAACAUGAACAAACAUUUCUGAACCAACUAGUAAUGAAGGUGAUCAGCCUUUCAUACCUGACUUAUACAUGCAAGAUGUACAGAGUACAAUUUUCAUGGCAAUCAACAAUGAUUAACCAUAAGCUUGAAUAAAACACUCUUAUUAGAGUUAAGUAAAGAACAAACUUGCUUGAACCGUUGAUUACCGCGAUGCAAUUUAUAACGCUUUACCCGAAGACCUAAUAUUAAUAAUAUAGAUCUCCAAUAUUAGAAUCACAGUAUAAU